GACGUAGGGGGCGAGCGUUGUCCGGAGUUACUGGGCGUAAAGGGCCCGCAGGCGGGAGGGUGCGUUUGCUCUGACAGCUCGUGGCUUCACUGCGAGAGGGGAGCAAAAACGGCCGUUCUUGAGGGCCAGAGAGGGACCUGGAAGUCCGGGUGGAGCGGUGAAAUGCGUAGAGAUCCGGAGGAACACCAAAGGCGAAGGCAGGGUCCUGGCUGGCACCUGACGCUCGUGGGCGAAAGCUAGGGGAGCGAACGGG
rnacentral:rRNA from 1 species